GGGACUUGCAAGCGUUUUCAGCUGAAGAAAUGUGGAAGUGAAUUGUUUGGCAUAUUUAGUAAAUGUUCUAUAGGCAACGCAACCACUAUUGUUCUUCGUGGAGAUGACCAGUUUAUUGAAGAAGCAGAUUUAUAUAUACAAGAUCUGAUCCCGUAUAUAAGGUUGCACCUGAAAAUUCACACAUUGGUUGCUGGUGGUCAUGCAUUAUAUGAGCGUAUAAUCCAGCAUGUAGGGGAAGAGGCAAACCACCAUGGAGUCGGAGACUCGAAACGGAUUGUAGAAGUAUUCACUAAAGCAAUUCAGGUGAGCGUGCCAUUGUGUGGGAGCCACCAUCCUUCAAGAUUGCUGCCAUUCGUCUUGCUACUGGUGAAGUUUGCGUUCAUUUAAAAUCCCCAGAAUAGAUGAUGGAGCGACAAGUUGACAAGUUCGAAACGGAAGACAAAACAAGAAAGAGGAAAAGAUGUUAAGCUAUUUUGGAGAUAGUAUAUUGUGAAAACGUUUAUGUGCUUAUAACUAGUAUUUAUCAUGUUGACUUUGACAUAAUACCUACUUAAUAACUUUCUUGUGGUCUUCUAAGCACAAUUUGGUUUUAUGCUUAUUAUGUAUUAUUUGCCUUAUGAAACAUUGUCUUGGGAAUUAUGCGAAAUGGAA